rnacentral:lncRNA from 1 species
UAAUAAAAUCUCUUUUCUUUGGUCUAAAGGUCCUACACACCAAACCCUUUCUUACCUCAUGGCCUUUGCACCUGCUAUUUCCUCUUACUAGAAUGUUCUUAACCCCAUCCUUGAAUGGCUGACUUUUUCCUCAUCCUUUAAGCCUCUGCUUAAAUGUCAGCAUGUCAGCUCUAAACAUCAAUCUGAAAUAGGUGCUCACUCCCAGCCUGGGCAACAGAGUGAGCUCUGUCUCAAAUGAACUAUGUUUUGAUAAAAAUGUUCAGAAAGUUUUAAUAUAUUAUGAAGGCCCAGCACAACCACCCAGUCUCACAUUCACUUGUCAAGUGAAAGUGAUGAAGAAAAAAGGUCAGGACUGAAAAUUGAAUAUAGCUAAAAUGGCCAUAUUCUAAUUUUAAAAAGAGAGAAAUCACAAAUAAAAUAAUAAAUGAAAGAGAAAACAUUACAAGUCAUGGUACAGGAAUAAAAAUGAUCAUAAGGGACUAUUAUGAACAACUUUCAUGUUGUACUGCAAGAAACUGAUCACCACAUUUAAAACUUGGGAGAAGACAGCUACUAUAUCAAUGAUUAACCAUAGAAUAAAAUUUUAGGCUGUGGUUUUUCAGUAUACAUGUACUAUCACAAAACCUUAUGUUGUGAUUUAUCUUUAUUUAAAACUUUAGAUGCUUCACAUUUAAGGAAAAUUGUGACUGCAUGAGGUUUCUAACUGCACUAUACUAUGAGUAUCAGGGUUUUUUUUUUCAAUAUACAGCCUAUAUAUAUUUUGAUAAAAAAUACUCUUUUUUUGAAAUAA